GGAAGGCCCACAUCCAACCGAAGACCGUGACCCCAGAGCUAAGCUGACAUGUACCCAAACACCCUGAUCGCAGAGUUAUGCUGUCAUCUACUCAGAUGCCCUAAUUCCAAAGACGUAAACUGUCGUCCACCGAAACACCCUGGCCCUAGAGAUAAGCUCCCAAACAUGCAACCGGCCCAACCACAGAGGUAAGCUGCUGUCCAUCCAAGCACCCUGAUCACAGAGGCAAACCACUGUCCGCCCAAACACCCUGAUCCCAGAUGUAGGCUGCCAUCCACGCAAACACAUUGUUCCCAGAAGCAAUCUGUCAUUCACUCAACCAUGCUGAUCCCAGAGGUAAACUACCUUCCAUCUAACUGUCUUGUUCUUUGGGGUAAGCUGACAUUCACACAAAUACCCUGAUCCCAGAGGCAAGCUGCGGUCUACCCAAACACGCAGACCCCUCAGGUAAGCUCACAUCCACCCAAAUGCCCUGAUCACAGAAGUAAGCUGCCAUCCACCUAACAUACCUGUCAAGUAUCCCGUUUUGGCCGGGAAAGUCCCGUAAUUUACCCUUCUUUCCCGCCGUCCUCCCGUAUUAGUAUUUUCCUGUAAAUCUCCCGUAUUUUAACCUGCGUUAUUAAAAAAAAAAAUGUCCCCCCAAAAAAAAUCUGAGCUCUGUCACUAGCUUCGCGAUAACUACCACCUGCAGUAGCCUACUACGCGGGGAAAAAAACACAGGAAAAAAAGAAGAAAAAAACAGACAGAUGAUGGACGCCAGGACAGAGAAGGAAGGCACUCCUGCCAAAAAACCAAAACCCUCGUGUAAAUACCGUGAUCAAUGGGACAACAAAUUUAUUUCUCUGAAGAAGAGCAGGGUGGGGGACAGUCAGGCGUUUUGUAAAAUUUGUAACUGCGACUUUAGCAUCGCACACGGGGGAAGGAAUGAUGUUGCCAGCAUGACAAAUCCGCCAAGCAGAAGCGCGGGCUAAUGGCACAAAAACAUGCCCAGGCGAUGUCAGCAUUCGUGACGAGAAAUGCCACUGAGGCAGACCAGGUCACAAGUGCAGAGGUAAAAAUGGCAAUGCUGUGUGCCAAAAACAACAUUCCUUUCUCCUUCCAUGAUGACUUCAACAAGUGUGUAGCUGACAUGUUCCCGGACUCUGCUAUUGCACGAAAAUACUCAACGGGAAAAACGAAGGCUACUCAACUCAUCAAAGGUGCCAUAGCAGCAGAACUACAGGAUGAGUUGGCCAAAACAUGCCGAUCUCAGCCCUUUUCACUGAUGUGUGACGAAUCCAACAACAGACAAAGAAUUCGUCAUCCUGACUAGACUCUACGAUGAGGCCACUCUGCAGGUCGCUACAAGAUUCCUGGAGAUGCCUACAUGCAAUGUAGGAAAUGCAGAAAAUCUGUAUGGAAAGCUGAGUGAGGCAUUAAGAAAAAGAGGCAUCCCAUGGGAAAACCUGAUUGCCUUUAACUCUGAUAAUGCAAGUGUUAUGAAAGGCCAACAUAACUCGGUCAUCAGCAGACUGAAGACCAGCCAGCCCCACAUCCAGGACCUUGGCUGCAUCUGCCACCUGGUACAGCUGGCCACUGGCUGUGGCAUCAGAGCAGCCCAGGUACCGGUGGAAGACAUCCUGGUGGGGAUAUACACCCACUUUGAUAAAAGUGCAAAAAGAUGUUAAGUCUACAAAGAGUUUGUAGACUUCACUGAUUCAGACCACCUGAAGCUCCUCAGGUACUGCAGCACAAGAUGGCUAAGUCUGUUAACCUGCAUCCAGAGGGUGCUGAACCAGUGGGAUGCACUACAGGCCUACUUUAACAGUCAUGAGGAAGUAGAGAGGAGUGUUAAAGUGCGUGAUCUGGCAAGCCAUCUGCGUGAUCCAAUCAUGAAGACCUAUUUCCUGUUCCUGAGUGCUAAAUUCAGCCUUUAUCUGAAUUUAACAUUGCCUUCCAGUCAGAGGGAGUACAAAUUCACGGACUUGAAGAGGAGAUGUGCAGGCUGAUAAAGAGGAUCCUGGGCUACCUCAUACCAGCCAGGGCAAUCGUGGGUGUACCUCUCAGGGAGGUGGAGUAUGGAGAUGGACAUCAGUUGGCUGAUGAAGAUCUCUUUAUCGGAGCAGACACAAAGGCAUUCAUGAGAAGCGCUGAGCUCCCUGUGUCAGCCGAGAAGAAAAUCUUUCAAACUGUGAGAAGCUUCUAUGAGGCAGUGCUUAAGAAGAUGUUCUCCACCUUUCCCCUCGACCAUCCACUCCUGAGGGACCUGAAAGUGCUGGACCCUGCAGCUCGCCUUAACAUAACUCCAGGGACAGGUAGAUAAUAGAAAGAGUUUCCAAUAGGCUUUAUGCCCAGCUCCACUACUUACCCUAGCAACCACCCUAGCAAUGGUCAGACACACCUGGAUGUGUAGUGUAUUAGCAGUAACCUUAUAAGAGCAGAAUAAA